UCCGCCUACGGGGGGCAGCAGUGGGGGAUAUUGCACAAUGGGGGAAACCCUGAUGCAGCGACGCCGCGUGGGUGAAGAAGCGCCUCGGCGCGUAAAGCCCUGUCAGCAGGGAAGAAAAUGACGGUACCUGAAGAAGAAGCCCCGGCUAACUACGUGCCAGCAGCCGCGGUAAUACGUAGGGGGCAAGCGUUAUCCGGAUUUACUGGGUGUAAAGGGGGCGCAGACGGCGAUGCAAGCCAGGAGUGAAAGCCUGGGGCCCAACCCCGGGACUGCUCUUGGAUCUGCGUGGCUAGAGCGCAGGAGAG
rnacentral:rRNA from 1 species